UGGGGAAUUUUGGACAAUGGGCGAAAGCCUGAUCCAGCAAUGCCGCGUGUGUGAAGAAGGCCUUCGGGUUGUAAAGCACUUUUGUCCGGAAAGAAAUCCUUGGCUCUAAUACAGUCGGGGGAUGACGGUACCGGAAGAAUAAGCACCGGCUAACUACGUGCCAGCAGCCGCGGUAAUACGUAGGGUGCAAGCGUUAAUCGGAAUUACUGGGCGUAAAGCGUGCGCAGGCGGUUUGCUAAGACCGAUGUGAAAUCCCCGGGCUCAACCUGGGAACUGCAUUGGUGACUGGCAGGCUAGAGUAUGGCAGAGGGGGGUAGAAUUCCACGUGUAGCAGUGAAAUGCGUAGAGAUGUGGAGGAAUACCGAUGGCGAAGGCAGCCCCCUGGGAUGAUACUGACGCUCAUGCACGAAAGCGUGGGGAGCAAACAGGAUUAGAUACCCUGGUAGUCCACGCCCUAAACGAUGUCAACUAGCUGUUGGGGUUUUAUUAACCUUAGUAGCGCAGCUAACGCGUGAAGUUGACCGCCUGGGGAGUACGGUCGCAAGAUUAAAAACUCAAAGGAAUU
rnacentral:rRNA from 1 species